rnacentral:rRNA from 1 species
GAUGAACGCUGGCGGCGUGCCUAAUACAUGCAAGUCGAGCGAACAGACGAGGAGCUUGCUCCUCUGACGUUAGCGGCGGACGGGUGAGUAACACGUGGAUAACCUACCUAUAAGACUGGGAUAACUUCAGGAAACCGGAGCUAAUACCGGAUAAUAUAUUGAACCGCAUGGUUCAAUAGUGAAAGACGGUUUUGCUGUCACUUAUAGAUGGAUCCGCGCCGCAUUAGCUAGUUGGUAAGGUAACGGCUUACCAAGGCAACGAUGCGUAGCCGACCUGAGAGGGUGAUCGGCCACACUGGAACUGAGACACGGUCCAGCCUCCUACGGGAGGCAGCAGUAGGGAAUCUUCCGCAAUGGGCGAAAGCCUGACGGAGCAACGCCGCGUGAGUGAUGAAGGUCUUCGGAUCGUAAAACUCUGUUAUUAGGGAAGAACAAAUGUGUAAGUAACUAUGCACGUCUUGACGGUACCUAAUCAGAAAGCCACGGCUAACUACGUG